AGUGGCGGACGGGUGAGUAAUGUAUGAGCAACCUGCCUUUCAGAGGGGGACAACAAGUUGGAAACGACUGCUAAUACCGCGUAACGUAUCGUGAGGGCAUCCUCAUGAUACCAAAGGAGCAAUCCGCUGAAAGAUGGGCUCAUAUCUGAUUAGCUUGUUGGCGGGGUAACGGCCCACCCAAGGCGACGAUCAGUAGCCGGACUGAGAGGUUGAACGGCCACAUUGGGACUGAGAUACGGCCCAGACUCCUACGGGAGGCAGCAGUGGGGAAUAUUGGGCAAUGGGCGAAAGCCCUGACCCAGCAACGCCGCGUGAAGGAAGAAGGUCUUCGGAUUGUAAACUUCUUUUAUGAGGGACGAAGGACGUGACGGUACCUCAUGAAUAAGCCACGGCUAACUACGUGCCAGCCGCGGC
rnacentral:rRNA from 1 species